rnacentral:sRNA from 1 species
AAAAUAUAUAUUAAUACCGUAGACAGUAGGUGCUAUUAGCUUAAUUUCCUACCGAGGAUCUUAAAUAAAUUUUUAAGUCUUUGGCCUUACUGUGAAAAGUUAGGCCUUUUUUA